GGGUCGGUAGGUUGGUCGUGCCACCGGUACGUACUGGUCUCACUGAUUCCUCCUUCCUGAGGAACCGUAAUGCCAUUAAUUUGGUGUUGCGGGGAAACAGGACUGUUACUUUGAAAAAAUUAGAGUGUUUAAAGCAAGCUAACGCUUGAAUACAUUAGCAUGGAAUAAUGAAAUAGGACGAUCGAUCCUAUUUUGUUGGUUUCUAGGAUUGACGUA
rnacentral:rRNA from 1 species